rnacentral:sRNA from 1 species
UUUUUUCAUUGUACCUUCGUCGACAUCGAAAUAAUGACUGCAUUACAACCGUCUGUAAUCGUCAAAUAACUCCUUUCUUUGUGUGAAGAUCUCAACCGUCUCUUUAUGCACUGAGUGGAUACAUUUUUUUUAGAUACCGCUACAAACCUAAGCAAGAUAACUGGUUAACUAAUUGAUUGAUCAUAUUGGACACUCAACAAUACACAAGUAUGAAACACUCAUCAAUUUUACAUUUUUUUUGGAUUUAUUGGACAUUAUAUUGUGGACAUAAUAUUGUGGAUAUAUAGAACACAAUCAGUAUAAUGGAAAGUUAAAAAUCAGCAAACAAAAAAUAAAUCAAACAAAAACACAUAAAACAUUGUGGGAAAAAUUUUAAAUAAUCAAAUAAAAUCUUCAAUUCAUUUUUUGCAUGUAUACACUCAAGUAGAGCUGAACAUUUUGGGAGAAGCAUCAAUAUGAUAGAAGACCAAAUUAUUAGGAAUCCUCUUUUCUCUACAACAAAAACAGAUACAUCACUAACCAAUAUAAAUCAUGGUUUUCUUUUUUAUAUUUUUUGGGUUUGUCUAAAAAAGUCCAAAAAGGAACUAAGGUCAAAAACAUGAAAGAUAUAAUUUACAUCCCUUUACAUCAAACAUAAUCAAUAUAACAGUUUAAACAUUCGACGAUACUGGACAAUUAUCAGUGAACAAAUAUGAUAAAAUAGUUGGACAUACAGAAGUGGACAUUAAUAUUUUGCAGUUUAUCUUUUAUUGGACUUGAUAUGUUGGAUAAAUGGUCAAAGAAACAUGGAUAAUAUACUUUGGAUUGGCGUUUAUUGUUCAUGUAUAAAUUUAUGUAUUAGUAUGAAACUAUCAUGUGAGUCAUUAGAUGAUCAUAUGGACUGGACUGCUUGGACAAUCAUUAAUGGACAAGUAUGUCUUUGAUUUGCUGCGAAUGUGUUUAUAGCUCGAUAAAAUUGCAUCAACAUGUCUAUAUACAUUUGGAUAAAUGGUCAAAGAAACAUGGAUAAUGUACUUUGGAUUGGCGUUUAUUGUUCAUGUAUAAACUUAUGUAUUAGUAUGAAACUACCAUAUGACUUAUUAGAUGACCAUAUGUACUGGACUGCUUGGACAAUCAUUAAUGGACAAGUAUGUCUUUGAUUUGCUGUGAAUGUGUUUAUAGCUCGAUAAAAUUAUCUCAACAUGUCUAUACACAUGUGGAUAAAUGGUCAAAUAGACAUGGAUAAUGUACUUAGGAUUGACGUUUAUUGUUUAUGUAUAAACUUAUGUAUUAGUAUGAAACUACCAUGUGAGUCAUUAGAUGACCAUAUGGACUAGACUGCUUGGACAAUCAUUAAUGGACAAGUAUGUCUUUGUUUUGCUGCGAAUGUGUUUAUAGAUCGAUAAAAUUAGCACUUUUUUGUUUGCUCAUCUAACAUUAUCAUUGGAGCCCAACUUGAUACAACCUCUCUAGCUUCUCUUCUUCCUCUCUUACAAUAAACAGAAUAAUCAUCACCUUCUCUUUCAACCUCUUUACACUCCUCCCUCGACGUCACAGCUACAUCAACCGAUGAAGAAAUCGGAGCUACAAAUCCAUCAACACCAAUCGGUAUAUCAAGCCUUGUAGGUCGUUUCCUUUUUUAAAACUUCUUCCGGAAGAGACGAUGCAGAAACAGAGUCAGAUCCAAACGAUAACCCGAAUCUAGAUGGAGGUUUCUCGAAACAAAGACGAAACGGCGAUUUCGGAGAAGAAACGGUGGUUGAUGGAGAGGAAGGAGAAGAUGUUGGAGGUUUGCAAUGAGAAAGAGAUUGGCCGGAAGAAUUAUCAGCCAUCGACAUUGAUAUUGUGAGAUAAUCGGACGGCCUGUAAUUGUGAAGGUAACUCCCUUUCUCAUCUGCAAAUCUCAUCUGUCGUUUUAUUAUAUACCAAUUCAAACAAAAUCAUGUUAACCGGUUAAGUAAUUGAUGGUUUAGUUUAAAAAGGAUAUAAUUGUCAUUUUAUCCUCCAAAAACAAGGAAAAGUGCCUCAUCCCUGAAAAGUGCCUCAAAAGUAAUAAAAUUCUUUGAAAGUGCCUAAACGUGUCACAUUCCCUACAUUUAAUGACCUUUCCAAUAAUUGUUUUUAAACCUAUAAGUCGAAAUUAUUGAAAGACUCUACAAUACAAAUUACAAAAAUCUAUGUCUAUAAUACACAUUAGAAAAUUAUAUUGAAGCAAAAAAAAAUAGAUUCUUUUAUAUGAGUGACAUAUUGAAAUGAUUUAAGAUUUAUCUUCUCCAAGUUUAUAUUUUCUUAAAUUGUUUUAAAAAUUUAUUUAAACAAAAAAAAUAACAGUGUAAGGUUCAUAAUCUAAAAUUAAAA